rnacentral:lncRNA from 1 species
GAUUGUUUUAACUUUAUAUGCUUUGUUCAACGUGAAUUGAAAGUGAUUGUGGAUGAUGUGGUUCACAGAGUACAAUGAGUCUGUGUAGCUGCUUUGGAUUCUUGCUGUUUGUCCUCCACAAUCUCCCAGGCACCACAGAGGAUUUCUUCCUAGAUUCGUCUCAUUCUGCUUUUCCCAUCACCUUCGGUUUGGGAGUCAUCUUCAUGUCUGUUAUUUUAGUCGUUUUUGCUGCAUAUAAAUGGAAACAAAACAAAAACAGAAACAAAGAGAGGGAGCACCUUAAGACAACUGAGAAGAAUUCAAUCAAGGCUUUCCAUACAGGACAAAGAGACAAUGAGACCAAGAAUUUGGAGGAUGAAAUUGAUGAAAUUCAGCCUCUCCGAGACCAGAAUCAGAGCAUGGAGAACGAGCUGCAGACCUUGAAGAGAGAGCUGGAGACCAACAAAAAACAGUCAGCUGACAAGGCCAGGGGGCAGACCUUUGAGGAGCUUAAGAACACCCAGUUUGAACUGGAGAAAAAGACUGCGGAGAUCAGGAACCUGCGGAGAGAGUUUGAUGACAGACUCAGGGAAGAGAAUCAGAGUAAAGAGAAAUGCCUGCAGACCCUGAAGGAGGAGCUGGAGAGCAAGAACAAGGAGCUUUGUGAGUCCAAGCUUCAGUUCGAAUCUCUCAUGAAGAAGAAUCAGGAGUUUGAGAGAAAGCUGACUGAACUUAGAGAGCUGCACAAGCAGGUGUUAAAGAAGAUGGUCGAGGAUGAGCAGCAGAGGACGGAGGAAGUACAAAAGGAAGUGGAGACCCUGAAGAUGGAGCUGGAGAAGAAGAAGGACGAGCAGAAAAGCCAAGCAGGGGAGUCAGAUGUUCAGAAAUCUCUGAUAGUAUGUGACAGCUCUGGAGAAGAACAUUUAGUGUCAGAGGAACAGAGUAAAGCAGCGGAGAUGGCUGAAGAAUUACCAAAUGUUGCAAAAGAAGUUGUGAACUGACAAUCUGUACAACAAGCAGAAUCCAGUGAUUUGUUUGAUUUGGAGCUAUUAUGUACAUAUUCAGUGCAAAAGAAGUAGUGUGAUGCAGUUUGGGAAGUUUAAAUUGUUUGAUGACUGACUGCACUAAAAGUACAUAAACAAUUCUGAAAAAAAAAUAAAAACAUACUUGUAUUUAUACCUUAAACAGCCUUUUAAUAUAUAUGACUAUAAUAUAAUAUUCAUCACUGCUAUUUUUAAUUGCCUUACUCUAUGUUGUUACUGUAACAGUUUAAUAAAAUAAUUACUUCUGUG